UACGUGGUGUGCGUGCCUUUAAUUUUUGAAGCCCUUUAAACCAUAUUCUUUUUUUUUUAAACAAAUUAAUCACUGUAGUAACAGCUAGUGCCAAAAUACCUUGUUUUAGUACUGUAAAACUUCAAUGAAUAAAUAUCGAAAUUAUAUCCAAACGGCAGGAAAAACCUUUGGCUUUGGGGUUGUUCUAAACUUUUGAGUGAUGAUUUCUGCUGACAUAACGAUAUGGUCCAGGUCCGUUAAAUUUUUUUUUGAGUGAAGUCAAACAUUUCCAGCCUAUAAAGACUCGUCUUGCUGCUGGAGAGAAGCCAGGGCAUGUGUCCGUGUUUACCUCACAGGCACCGGGUGGCACGCUCCUUUCACGCUGAUGUCAGAUUGGCACGACACAUGGUCCUAGACACCAGGGGGCUUCAUGGGGCCAGGAGACCCCCAGCCCUACUCGCAGUAGCUGAUACAAUCCACCCCUAAGUGUUUCAGUCUCUUUCUCUCUCUUUCUCUCUCUCUCUCUCUCUCUCUCUUUCUGUAGCAGGCCUUUGAAGUGGGGUGAUGAGGGUAAGUUAAUUAUCCCCAUUACACAGGCCUGGCUACAUCCAGCCCUGCCUCAGCCCCAGCCUUCCUCUGCCUAUAAUUACACUGAGAGGGAGGCAGAAGCUGUCAGCAACAUUUAAAACAGACCCUCUGAUAAAAACACUCCAGCAGAGAGAGAGAGAGAGAGAGAAAGAAAGACGCUGGCCCCAGAUGUUGAUGUAGACGUUUUAAGUGAUUGAACAGAGCAGUGAAGAGUGCAAAGCAGGAUCACAACACGGGGCAAAAACCUCCUAAGCGUUCGACCAGCGCAAGCGUGUUAAAGCUUGUAGAGGUGGAGCGGUCCACCUCAUCUGCUCUCUGCCAGAGCCAGUGUGUGUGAUAAAUGAGAGGAGGCCCGGUCUGCUUACUGAUGCACAGGAGAGACCGAACCAGCCCCCCACCCUCCUUACCACCCCUCCAUCCACCUCCUCUUCCUCCAUCUUUCAGCUUCAUCUAUCAAAUGUGAGGACAGAUGAGCAGCAGCGAGAAGCUCUGGGGGGUGACGGUGACUGUGACAUCGGCAGCGUUCAGUGCUUUACAUGUCAGUCAGAUGGCCUGUUCCUGUCUAAGCGGGCGGCCCUUUGACAGAACAAGCAAAGUCGACCAGACGUAAUGCAGAUCAUCGGCGACGGCGCUUCCGCAAUGAGGAGCGAGCAUGUGCGCAUGGUUGCCAGGUUGCUUAAAAUAAGCAAAACACCGGGCAGAAAAUGUAUCCUUAUAACAGCAUAGCUCUGAUUUUGGGAUUUGAACUUUUGAUAUCUGACAACUGCACUCAUGAAAGCUCACGUAGUAGAGGCGUGUAGAGCAGUCUGCAAUAACAUUUUGUCUCCUUUUUUGAUGAAAAUUAAGAGAGGUUUUGGUAAAGUUUUUAUUUUUUUGAAUACAUUUUAGUCUCGUCUUUUUUCGUCAACGAAAUUGCAUGUUGAUGUUGUCAUACUUUUUGUUUAUUGACCUUAUUGUCAUCUCGUCUGCGUUUCGUCUAGUCAUGGGAAAAAAGCUCAUCAACAAACAUUUUUCGUCAAAGUUUUCAUUAAGGAAAUUGACACGUGUCUCCAUUUUACUAAUGUGUAAAAAAAAAAGACCCUCUCCCACCUCACGUCUCUUGUGCGGUAAUAUGUAAGGGGAUGUUGUUUUUGUUGUUAUUUUUAUUGUUACUGUUAUUUUGAGUGAAUAGAAUCAAAUGCAAUGUGUGUACUGUCUCCAAAAAAUACUAAAGUAUACAGAAAGUGGAAUUGGCUGACAAACUAACUUUUUUACAUACAGCCAUUUCGGAUCAUUCCA